UAUGGCCUACGGGGGGCAGCAGUGAGGAAUAUUGGUCAAUGGGCGGGAGCCUGAACCAGCCAAGUCGCGUGAGGGAAGACGGUCCUAUGGAUUGUAAACCUCUUUUGUCGGGGAGCAAAGAGAUCACGUGUGGUCAAAAGCGAGAGUACCCGAAGAAAAAGCAUCGGCUAACUCCGUGCCAGCAGCCGCGGUAAUACGGAGGAUGCGAGCGUUAUCCGGAUUUAUUGGGUUUAAAGGGUGCGUAGGCGGUCGGAUAAGUUAGAGGUGAAAUCCCGAGGCUCAACUUCGGAAUUGCCUCUGAUACU
rnacentral:rRNA from 1 species